CUACCCCAAUUAUUUACUGGGCAAAAGAAGAUGGAAUGCUACCCAAAAACAGGACAGUUUAUAAGAACUUUGAGAAAACCUUGCAGAUCAUUCAUGUUUCAGAAGCAGACUCUGGAAAUUACCAAUGUGUAGCAAAAAACGCAUUAGGAGCCAUCCACCAUACCAUUUCUGUUAGAGUUAAAGCGGCUCCAUACUGGAUCACAGCCCCUCAAAAUCUUGUGCUGUCCCCAGGAGAGGAUGGGACCUUGAUCUGCAGAGCUAAUGGCAACCCCAAACCCAGAAUUAGCUGGUUAACAAAUGGAGUCCCAAUAGAAAGUAAGUUGCCUUGACUGGUUCUAAUUGCAGUAUAUUUUCAGAGCAUAUAUACAUCCCAACAGUGAAUAAAUGGUGAUAAAAUAUAACUCAGGUUAAGGAAGGAAGCCACAUGUAUGUUAAACACAGGCACUAAAUUACCUUUGCAUUUUAUUACCAUUAGAUAUUUAUUAUGAAUGUGAAUAGUUUAUGCUGUUAACAUAAUGGUAUGUGACGACUGGUACUUGGCAAUAUUUCGUCUGUUUUUUACAUGGAUAAUGGGAAGAAUGACAGGGUCAGAAAUAAAUAUCACUUAAAAGUUU
rnacentral:sRNA from 1 species